rnacentral:misc_RNA from 1 species
AAGUCGUAACAAGGUUUCCGUAGGUGAACCUGCGGAAGGAUCAUUAGAAAAUCUGGCUGCAAGCCGCUAUUUUGUGCAACGGACAUUUUACAUGUGGAUAUGACGCGAGGACAGCACGAAAAGAUACAACUUUCAACAGUGGAUCUCUCGGCUCUU